ACACUGCUGAGGAGUCCAGUACUAAGACGAAACGACCGUCUAGUGU
rnacentral:hammerhead_ribozyme from 1 species